CAGAUUUGUGUUGGUUAGUGUGGACUGAGGCUGCUUGUGGUUUUGGGAUUCCAAUUAAAUCCAUUCUUUCUUCGCAUAAGAUCCUAAAACGGAGAUGGAAGACACAAACACAGACACAAACAAAUCUGGUUCUUCCUCGCCAAGUGGUUCUCCCUUGAGAACCGGACGUUGUCCCUUGCCGACUUUGCGGUCUCCUUCGCCAUUUUCACGGUCACCCUCACCAUUGUCACCUGGCAGUUCACCCUCAGGAUCACCAUUAAACGAGAAUCCGAAAUCUCCGACGGUGGACUUAGUAGGAGAAGACUUAGAGGUAGAGGAACAAGAAGGGACAGAGGGAGAGCAAGAGCCUACAAAU